ACUCCUUUGCUGAAUCCAGUGAGUCAUCUGCCAGGGAUGAACUUGAAAUAGUGACUUGACAGACCCUAGAGCUCCCUAAAGCAGCCCAGAAAGCAGUGUAGUUGGUUCCAACCAAACCCGAGGGCAAAUGGUGAUGUCAGUUUGCUACUGAAGAGGAACACGGAUCCCCUUUAUUUAUGGAAGUAAUGUUUUGAGAAUAAAGGGGGUGGUUGGUAAUGUUAAGGAAACACUGUUUCCUGGGCACCAUGAUCUCCCGACGCUUGUGGUAGUACACACAAGAUCUCCACAACCUCCAGCCAGAGUUCCAACAGACAACAGAGAAAGUGGUCAGUCACCCCCCACUACCAAGGAACCAUCAGCAUUCGAUAGCUUCCUUUCAUGGUGUGACACUGAUUGGCUGACUACACACUACAGUAGGUCCCAAUCCCCAAAACAGAGGUCCCAGUCCCCAAAACAGAGGUCCCAGUCCCCAAAACAGAGGGUCAAGGAAACCUGUGGAGAAAGAAGGAAAAAAUAAUCUCAAAGUUGGUAUGGGAAAGUGUGGGAGGAUCCAGAGAAGUGGGAAUGAGAGUGGGGUGUGCUCAAAAUAAAUCACAUGAAAUUCUCAAAGAAUUAAUAAAAAUUUUGCAAAAAAAAAAAAAAAAA
rnacentral:lncRNA from 1 species